CAGGAGCUCAUUCAAAUACUGAGGUGCAAAACCCUUCAGUGCAUCAUAAGUUAUAAGCAAAAUUUUAAAAUAUAUUGUCUAUUUUUACCAGUUCCAGUUACCACAUUUAAUAAUUGUUGACAAUUAAGCAGUAAAUUCUUCAAAACAUAGAGGAAAGUCAGUUACGGAGGAUUGAAAUGAGAUAAGGACGAGUAAAUAAUUUUCAUUUGAAGUGAACCCAUCAGUUAGUGUUGUAAACCAGCCUGGAGAAACACAACCGUUCUUGGCUGCUAAUUACAUACAAAUGACUUGUGAUGGGACCAGAACGAUGGGUGGUCAAAGUUCAAUGGCUUUGGUUCAAGUUUAAUGGCGAUCAAAUCACCAGGGUUCCUUCUCCGAGGGCCCGCGACCGGCUAAUGGCCAUGACCGAGAGUGUGAGGGUCGCAUCUGGAUCAUUUCCAUGACAAUCAGGGUGGCGCUGAAGUAGGCGGGGCAAACGAGGAUGCUCUCUGAGAUAUAGUAGUUGGAUGUGAGGUAUGGCAUCUGUCUACCCUCGUUGAGAUUCUUGAUCUCUUUGACCAGUCAGUGUUGUAUUAUUAAAAUCGCCCUCCGGUCAUAGGAUUAGGGAGGGGUAGGAGCCAGUCAAAAUGAUAGCCCGAAAUGCACUACUGCAGAGGGUGGCAUUGAACAGCUCAGCACGCCGACAGCACAGGGGGGCUGGAAAUGCAGCAAUUAGUCCUGUCUGUCUCUCCGUGCACUAUAAUCAAAAGCUCUGGGGAUGCCAAACAUGCUGAGGCGAUCACAUGAUUCAGGUCUCGCCUCAUUAUGCAUCUUCACAGGUUAGAUCUGGGCUUUGAGAACAAUGGAAUGUAUACUUGAAGUUAACAGAGAAUCAAAAGAAUCAAACUCAGUCAAAUUCUGAUAUGGUUUGCAUGAUCUUCCUUAUAUAUGAUAUUAUAUUAUGGUUUUUGGGCACCUAGUAUCAUCACUUGACGUUGCUUUCCAGGAGAAACAAAUGAGACAGCUGAUACUUGACGGUAUAGUUCAUCCAAAAAUGAAAAUUCUGUCAUUUACUCACCCUCAAGUUGUUCUAAAACUAUGAAAUUCUUUAGAUAUUUUGAAGAAUGUUGGUAACCAAACAUUUGCUGGUAGCCACUCACUUCCGAGUUAUGGGAAAAACAAAACAAACAAAAAAACAACAGCAAUAAAGUAAAUGGCUACCGUUCCAUUACCCAUGUGCACAUUCUUCAAAAUAUUUUGUGUUCAGCAGAAGAAAGAAAUUUAAAAAGGUUUGGAGCAACUUAUGUGUGAGUAAAUUAUGAGAAUGUUUCUUUUUUGGAUGAACUUUCCCUUUAAUAAUCUCCAUUACUUCUACAGAGCUACAGUGUGAAAGCAAAACCUUUGAGCUUCUGCAAAAAAUAAAAAAUAAAUUAAAAAAAGGGAAGCUUUUCUUAAUCAGUGUUUUUGUCUUAAAUUCCAGUAAAUCCCCCCUUGAAACAAGAAAAUUAAAUUGAGCAGCAAGCCUGUGUUAACAAGACUUGUUUUCAGAGGAUUUAAUUAUUUCUUUUUCAUGCACAAACUUUUUAGAUUUAUGCUUAGAAGAAAAAAACAAAAACUGUCAAUGGGGUAAGAAAAGUAAACUUAAUUCAAGUUUUAUUCUCAGAAAACAAGUCUUAAUGUCUUAUUCAAUUGUAAAACAUUUAGCCAUUGUAACUGGAAAACAAAACAAAAUGACUGAUUAUGAAAAUGAUCUUUUGCAGUGCAAUAAAUAUUAUGCCAAAACAAUGCUUUAAACAAGAAAAAAUAAUGGGGUAAGAAAAAUAAACUAUUUAACUAUUAAAAACAUGCCUUGUUAAUUCAAUUCUAAAAGGAUGUUUUAACUGGAAAAAAUACAGAUUAAGAAAAUGAUUUUUUUGCUUUGCAAUACAGUUUUUUUCCUUUGGGAAAAACAAAGUCCAAGGGCUGACUGUAGGAACGCUCUGUCUCAUCAUCUCCGGUCACACAUCACCGAGUUUGCUCCUCAAAGGUAGCGCCAAAGGAGAACAGCAGGGAGGAAGGUUUAUCGAAAGCAAAAUGCAGCUGUGUUGGAGUUGGCAGGUGGUUAAACGAGUGACCAGGAGACUGGAUGGUUGGCUGCAGUGUCUCGGCGUCUCUCUCCCCCUGAGUCCAGGUCUAUGGCUGGAACACUGUGACCUAUAGCUGCUCUUGGCAGGGCCGUGGGGUUACCAGAAGGGCAGAACCGCUCUCUGGAUCUGGCAUCUAUCUCUAGCUCUGUUGUGGCAUUCAAGAACUGCCAUCAUUUGGAUCUUUUCUACAUCGUGACAUGAAGACAGCUCUUUCUAUCUCUCUCCAUCUGUCUCUCUCUUGGGGAACUCUGGGAGUACAUAAACCUGUGCCACGGCAAGAGCCAACAAUUGUGAAAUCACUGUUCAUGAUUGCACAGUUCAGAACUCUGGGACAUUUCUUAGUGCAGCUGUGGAAUCAAAGCUCAAAUGAAUCACUCCUCUCCGCUCAUUCGUUCAAAUUCACGCUCUGUACGUGUGAAGUCUUUCUUUCCAGGCCCAAGCUGUUGUUCGUAUCAGUCUUGCGCAGACAGUGGCUGGAUUGGGUUUAAUUGCUGUGAUGUGGACUUGAUAGGAGCGGUUCUCUCUUUCCGACUAAUUUUCUCCCCAGCAAUUGCGUUCCAAUUAAUAACAGCCAGCGAGGCAUUGCUUGUGGAUGUGAAAUGCAUAUGAUUGCCCUGUCACUCACCAGCCAGAAAGCUUUCAAUGGAUGGCAAUGUCCUUGUCUCAACCAAGCUAUAUUUUUUUGCUUUCCAGAUCUGCAUACUUGCCAUUGAUUGAUUCAUCCAUUCAAAACUAUAACAACAGGGAAGGAAACUUACAGAGGAAACAAUAAAAUCACCCAUUUUAUUAAAAAAAAUUUUUAACCUGUCCUUUGCACUAGUGUAAAUGAUGUUCAUAUGUUCAUAGUUCUGCCGAUAGUGUACAUACACGUUUACAAAAUCCAUCUGUAUAGUAUGUUCAUAGUACACCUAUCUGUAUAUCAUGCUGAUAGUAUUUAUAAUCUGUAAAUUAU